rnacentral:rRNA from 1 species
UACGAAGGGGGCUAGCGUUGCUCGGAAUCACUGGGCGUAAAGCGCACGUAGGCGGAUCUUUAAGUCAGGGGUGAAAUCCUGGAGCUUAACUCCAGAACUGCCUUUGAUACUGGGGAUCUCGAGUCCGGAAGAGGUGAGUGGAACUCCGAGUGUAGAGGUGAAAUUCGUAGAUAUUCGGAAGAACACCAGUGGCGAAGGCGGCUCACUGGUCCGGUACUGACGCUGAGGUGCGAAAGCGUGGGGAGCAAACAGG